CUGAGGGUAUAAAAAAAGCUGUAAAAGCAGCAAACAGUGUGCUUCAAGACAGAAAUAUCUCUGACACUAUCUGUUCUUGUUCUUGAGAAGCUGGAAGAAACAGAUUGUCUCCCUUCAAGGAUUGUGCAAAGAACUUUACCUGUCAGCAUUGCAACCUGAGUGCCUUGGACUGAUGACUGAGCCCACAGGGUGCUGAGUGCCAUCAGUUCCCAUGGACUUCACAGGCUAAAGCUCCCUUUUCAAACCUACAUUUAACAGAGGAAAUUCCUGAAUCUCAGCUCAGUGAUCGGCAGAGACUUCAUACAGAUGUUACAUAUACAGGGGGUUGUAUAUGCCACAAAAUUGACCUUUAAAGCAGCUUUAAUGACCUUUUGCAGUGCUUUAAUGGUGCUGCUGUUUACACUGCCAGUGGUGUAUUGCACGUUUAAUCACUUUGGGACACAGCAAAAUUAAACAUGUUCGAGGUGUUUUAGUUUGCUCCCUUACAGCCGCUGCCCAUGGAGGCAGCCCAGCAGCAGCCCAUGCAGGCAGGCUCCACUGAAGGGGAAAAAAAAGAAAAGAAGUGGUGAUCCUAAUUUUUUUUCCCCUCCCUGGAGCCUGCCUGCCUGAGCUGCAUGGGGGCCUGGUGCUUCCCUCUGGGGCUGUGGCACCCCCCAAGACUGCCCAGGCCAGGUGCUUGUGGGCAGGUGCCACCUGGGGGACACCACUGCCACCGCGGAGGGAAGCACCACCCUGCCACCCCCUGCCGCUCCCCAACUCAGGGAUUGCUCAGCCCUCCGGCAGCUUUCCCUCCUGCUGCCAAAGUUUCAUACUGGCACCCAUCAUCACAGUACUGAGCAUGUUCUAUCAAUGAAUAACAACAGCAACAUUCCUAAUAAACUUUAAGGAGCCUCUGGCACUCCAGCCUUUUCUGGAUAAAGUGAUUUCUAAGGUAGAGUUUCUUAAGCUGGUUUGUUUAGCCUACUGACACCCUCCCUUGGCAUAGUGAGGCAUGCCCUGUUUGCAACUAAUGCCAGAGUUGGUACACUAGAGUACAGUUAACUCUGCAGACUGGCAAGGAAAAGCCCAAGUUCAAAAAGCCCAAGGCAGAAUAAAUCUAAGUUACACAGUUUGCUGUAAGCAGCAUAGUUUAGAUUGGUGGCAAAAAGGACACACGUUCACCCUUUGGUGGAGAGCGCAAAUCUUAUAUCAGGUUCUGCCAUUUUCAAGCCACUCUGUGCACCAAACCUCUGUUAUGGGUAUAGACUAGUUUCCAAUCAGUUAGACUGGUGAAAGUAUGAUGUUUGUACUUGACUCAUAUGUCUAAACAAAAUAUGAAUCUGAGUAAAAAGCCACAAGUUUCCAUACACCCUCUA